rnacentral:rRNA from 1 species
UCAGAAUGAACGCUGGCGGCAUGCCUAACACAUGCAAGUCGAACGAAACCUUCGGGUUUAGUGGCGCACGGGUGCGUAACGCGUGGGAAUCUGCCCCUUGGUUCGGAAUAACAGUUGGAAACGACUGCUAAUACCGGAUGAUGACGUAAGUCCAAAGAUUUAUCGCCGAGGGAUGAGCCCGCGUAGGAUUAGGUAGUUGGUGUGGUAAAGGCGCACCAAGCCGACGAUCCUUAGCUGGUCUGAGAGGAUGAUCAGCCACACUGGGACUGAGACACGGCCCAGACUCCUACGGGAGGCAGCWGUGGGGAAUAUUGGACKAAUGGGCGAAAGCCUGAUCCAGCAAUGCCGCGUGAGUGAUGAAGGCCUUAGGGUUGUAAAGCUCUUUUACCCGGGAUGAUAAUGACAGU